GCGUCUGACCUUCGGCUGAUCGUCGGCGCGCGGGGUGCGUGGACUUCUAAUCCACCGGUCGCAGGUUCGAGUCCUGCUGGGCGCACCA
rnacentral:tRNA from 1 species